rnacentral:rRNA from 1 species
GUGAUGAGCUAGCCAUCGGCCUGAGUGAUACGGAGGGUUCGAUCGUUAAGCGGAAUUACUGGGCGUAAAGCGGUGGCAGGCGGGGUGGUAAGACCGAUGGGAAAUCCCCGGGCGCAACCGGGGAACUGCAUUGGUGACUGGAAGUCUGGAGUGCGGCAGAGGGGGAUGGAAGUCCGUGUGUAGCAGUGAAAUGCGUAGAUAUGCGGAGGAACACCGAUGGCGAAGGCAAUCCCCUGGGCCUGCACUGACGCUCAUGCACGAAAGCGUGGGGAGCAAACAGGAUUAGAUACCCCUGUAGUC